UACGAAGGGGGCUAGCGUUGCUCGGAAUCACUGGGCGUAAAGCGCACGUAGGCGGAUUGCUAAGUCAGGGGUGAAAUCCCGGGGCUCAACCCCGGAACUGCCUUUGAUACUGAUAGUCUCGAGUCCGGAAGAGGUGAGUGGAAUUCCGAGUGUAGAGGUGAAAUUCGUAGAUAUUCGGAGGAACACCAGUGGCGAAGGCGGCUCACUGGUCCGGUACUGACGCUGAGGUGCGAAAGCGUGGGGAGCAAACAGG
rnacentral:rRNA from 1 species